UUUCCUCAAAAGCAUUCUAAACUCUACCGAGACUGUAGCAAGAGGAAGGGUCCAGAGCUUGGACCCAAAUGAUCUAGUUGGUGGUACAGAGAUUGGACCAGAAUGGUGUGAGGUAAACGUUCAAGUACCAAUAAAAAAGAUGAAAACUUGGUAAGACUAUAUGGUUUAUUUUCUACAAUUCAAGAUUGUAUUGGUGCAUCCAUCGCAUAGCCCUAUCCAUUCAUCUCGGUAGUCUAUGAGGAUUGAGGACGCAUGAUGACUCAAGAUUUUAUGCUUCUUAUUUCUUUAAUUGCUUUUAAUUUCUUUGUUAAAUGUUAAGACUUUAUGUUAGAUAAUGU
rnacentral:lncRNA from 1 species